UGGUCUUCACAUUGCCACGC
rnacentral:siRNA from 1 species